rnacentral:lncRNA from 1 species
GAUUCAUCAAUUGAAACCCCUGUGGAUGAUGGAAAUCUAACACUUCUUGCAGUGAAGAUACACCAGAAAGAUAAGCCUGAGCAGCGGAGACGUCAGCGCCGAUGGUAGCUGAACUACAGCUGUAAGACUGCCAAAAAACCUCUGAACUGUGCGGAUCGUUGUGAGUAAUAUUUCUGAUCCUUCUAAAGGGUGUAUGUGGCUGAUUACUGCAGGCAGGGAAAUAUUGCAGACUCCCAUUGCCAGCAAUAAAUUAGAGGGAGACCAGAGGUGAGAGACAGGCAGUGAAACUAUUGACUGGCCUUAAAAUAAUGCUUUCCUCCUAGACUUCCGUAAGCAAGUAUGCAUUUCUCUGAAGCUGGGUCAUCAAGUCUAUUCCAAAUAUGCUAAUAAAAAAGUGUGGUAUUGAAUUCAAUUACAGGACUGUCAGGACAACGUAGAUUUGGCCAGACAAGUGAGAUCAAAGGGCCAUCUAGCCCCAUAUACUGGCUCAGAGUGGCCUACAGUUUAUAUUCAAGGAAAAAAAUAAAAGACUAAGGAUAAAAUGGACUCUAUAUACAAGCUGAAGAUUUUUGUGAUGUUUUUAUCUCAAGCUACUUUCACAGUCAUGGUGAUACUGAAUGCUGGAAACGCCACUGGACUAUUCAAAGGUCUGUUCCGGACAACCCCUGGAAACAUCUCGGAUAAGUACAACACUGACUUCACACCAGCUGGCUGGACUUUCCUCAUCUGGAAUGUCAUCUAUGCCUGGCAGCUUGCCUGGCUCCUGUACGCCUUGUCAGGGAUCUGUCGAAGGAAUGAACUUGGAUGUGUAUACAUAAAGCCAGACUUGUUGCCAACACCUUUUUACGUGGCAUGGAUUCUAAAUAAUGGACUCAAUGUUGGAUGGCUAUUUCUGUGGGACCGAGAAUACCUCCUCCCAGCCCUGGUGCUCCUGGUAGCCCUCACUCUUGCCACGUGUGCUGCUCUCUUCAUCUCACACAGAGCCUUGAGUAUCCAUUCCUCGUGGUUUGUGAAGGGUCACAAAGCUGAACUCUGGCUCAUCCGGAUCCUAGUUCAGAAUGGGCUGGCGCUGUAUGCCACGUGGACCACCAUUGCCUCUCUGCUGAAUUUUGCUGUUGUGUUGAUCUACAAGUGGGAUGUGUCCAACGAGAUAGCAACAACUACCUCUUUGAGCAUCCUUACUCUCCUCCUAGUAAUAUGGUUUUAUCAAGAAAACUUCUUUCUUGACAAGUACGUCCGUUAUAACCUCACUAUCUACCCAGUGGUCAUAGUGGCUCUGACUGGAAGCGCGUGCAAGAACUUCUCACUUUCAUCCCCAACCACCAACGGCAUUUUUAUAGUUAUACUGUUGGCAGUGACUUGUCUUAUCUUUGCUGUUCGCCUGGGAUUAGUCAUAUGGAGGCACUGUAAGAGACCACUAGAAGCACCAAGAAGCCCACAUCCAUCAGGCACAGUGGCCUGA